rnacentral:misc_RNA from 1 species
AAAUUCUCAAAGCAAAUUCUUUUGUUAAUUCAAUUGGUUUACUUUGGAUUUGGAGGUUUUGCAGAUUUCUACAAUCUGCUCCUCUUGAAUGUAUUAGCUGGAUCUCAGUAUAUACUUGGUUCCACUCAGUGUGAUAAGUAUCACUCACUGAGGACACCUGUAAAAAAGGUGGCCAAGGAAUACAGAUGAACUGCUUCUAAGAGUCUAUUAUG